rnacentral:rRNA from 1 species
CUACGGGGGGCACCAGUGAGGAAUAUUGCACAAUGGGGGGAACCCUGAUGCAGCAACGCCGCGUGGAGGAUGACGCAUUUCGGUGUGUAAACUCCUUUUAUAUGUCAAGAAAAUGACGGUAGCAUAUGAAUAAGCACCGGCUAACUCCGUGCCAGCAGCCGCGGUAAUACGGAGGGUGCAAGCGUUACUCGGAAUCACUGGGCGUAAAGGACGCGUAGGCGGGUGGGAAAGUCAGGUGUGAAAUCCUACAGCUUAACUGUAGAACUGCACUUGAAACUUCUAAUCUAGAGUAUGGGAGGGGGAGAUGGAAUUAGUGGUGUAGGGGUAAAAUCCGUAGAUAUCACUAGGAAUACCUAAAGCGAAGGCGAUCUCCUGGAACAUUACUGACGCUAAGGCGUGAAAGCGUGGGGAGCAGACAGGAUUAGAUACCCCGGUAGUC